UUGAUGAUGGUGUGAGGGUUGAAGGCUGGUGGAUGAAUGAAGAUGCUUUGUGGUGAAGAUUCAAGGUUGUUGAGUGGUGGUUGAUGAUGAUGGUCAAGAUAUGCGCAAAUGAUGAAUGGAGGUUAUAAGAAAAAUGGUGGAGAAUCGAGAGUGCUGAAGUGUGUGAAGUUUGGGAUGACGAUGAAUCGAGAGAAGUCGGGGAGCUUCAGAAUUCUAUCACGUGCGGAGGGGUGAAGGUUGCUGGUGAUGGUGAAGUGUGAAGAAUGAAGGAGAUGAGAAGAAGAUGAGAGUAAGAUGAUGAAGAAUGGUGGGUGUUUGAACUUUUAACUAUGCACUUCUUCUUUCAAUGUUUGCAAGCGAAACGAUGAGGAAGCUUGUGCUUGUGCCUUUUCUAGAUGUGUGAAGCUGCCUUUUUAUAUGAGCAAUGAUUGGGUUUCUUGGUGGUACAAACAAAUAUGGCAGUGCUGUAGAUAACCUGGAGCUGUGACUGAAAUACAAUGUGGAUGGAGGACCGAAACUUAUUGGCCAUGAUCAUGAGGUAUGGAAUACACACGGGACCGGCUUUCUUUGUGAAGUUGAGUUCUGUUAGGAGAAUGAAUUAGUUAUAGGUUUGCAAUUCUGUUAUUCUCUAUUAUUGAAGUUGAAGUUAAGCCGGAACUGUUAGUAAAACAGUUAGUAAUAGCUGAGGUUCUAUUAGCAAGUUAAUUGAAUGAUUAGGAGAAUUAGUUAUAUUCGGUUAGGUUGGCACGAAAGGUGGUUAAUUUUGGAACUUGUUUUGUAAUUGUUUUUGGUGGUUAGAGACCUAAUAUAUUGACUGGCAGCUUGGUAUGAUAUGUGCAGGUGUGGUUUAAUUUGUGUAUGAUGCUGAAAGUGGCAUAACGUGUUGUUUGGAUAUGAUUUACCAAUGUGUAGGAAUGCUGCAGGUUUACAGGGACUGAAAUGGUUUUAUCUGUGA